UACGUAGGGAGCGAGCGUUGUCCGGAUUCAUUGGGCGUAAAGAGCUCGUAGGCGGCUUGGCAAGUCGGGUGUGAAAACUCCAGGCUCAACCUGGAGACGCCACCCGAUACUGCCAUGGCUAGAGUCCGGUAGGGGACCACGGAAUUCCUGGUGUAGCGGUGAAAUGCGGCAGAUAUCAGGAGGAACACCGGUGGCGAAGGCAGCUCGCUGGGACGUUUACUGACGCUGAGACGCGAAAGCGUGGGGAGCAAACAGG
rnacentral:rRNA from 1 species